GAAUUAUUAUUAUUAUUAUAUUCAUCCUACAUUACAUCGGUAUAACCAUGAUGCAACCCCUAAACACUGACUCACUAGUCAGUAUCAUUAGACGGUAGCCGGCAUAAUGAAAUAGGAGCUUUAUUUGUAUACCCUUAACGUUACCACAAACGAAUGUAAAAGAUAUAUAUAUAUAAGAGUGUGUGUAGGAGUGUGUGUGUGUGAGUGUGUGUG